rnacentral:rRNA from 1 species
CCUACGGGGGGCUGCAGUGAGGAAUAUUGGUCAAUGGGCGGGAGCCUGAACCAGCCAAGUCGCGUGAGGGAAGACGGUCCUAUGGAUUGUAAACCUCUUUAGGCGGGGAGCAAUGCCGGGCACGCGUGCCCGGAGGGAGAGUACCCGCAGAAUAAGCAUCGGCUAACUCCGUGCCAGCAGCCGCGGUAAUACGGAGGAUGCGAGCGUUCUCCGGGUUUUUUGGGUUUAAAGGGUGCGUAGGCGGAUUUUUAAUUCAGCGGUAAAAUGUCCGGGCUCAACCCGGGCCGGCCGUUGAAACUGGGGUUCUUGAGUGGGCGAGAAGUAUGCGGAAUGCGUGGUGUAGCGGUGAAAUGCAGAGAUAUGACGCAGAACUCCGAUUGCGAAGGCAGCAUACCGGCGCCCGACUGACGCUGAGGCACGAAAGCGUGGGGAUCGAACAGGAUUAGAUACCCCAGUAGUC